GAUGAACGCUGGCGGCGUGCCUAAUACAUGCAGGUCGAGCGAACGGACGAGAAUCUUGCUUCUCUGAUGUUAGCGGCGGACGGGUGAGUAACACGUGGAUACCCUACUUAUAAGACUGGGAUAUCUUCGGGAAACCGGCGCUAAUACCGGAUAAUAUUUUGAACCGCAUUGUUCAAAAGAUAAAUACGGUCUUGCUGUCACUUAUAGAUGGAUCCGCGCUGCAUUAGCUAGUUGGUAAGGUAACGGCUUACCAAGGCAACAAUGGAUAGCCGACCUGAGAGGAGGAUAGGCGACACUGGAGCUGAAACACGGUCCAGAGUCCUACGAGAGGCAGCAGUAGGGAAUCGGCCGCAAUGGGCGAAAGACUGGCGGAGCAACGACGAGUGAGAGAUGAAGGGCUUCGGAUCGUGAAACUCUGUUAAUGGGGGAGAACAGAUGUGUAAGUAGCUGUGCACUGCGUGACGGUAACGAGUCAGAAAGCAACGGCUAAAUACGUG
rnacentral:rRNA from 1 species